rnacentral:lncRNA from 1 species
AGAAAAGAAUGUAAUGUGUAUUUUGAGGUAAAUGUGAUGUAAGAAAGAAAUGAUGAAAUGACAUGUAAGGAAUCCGAAAAAUUACAAGUUGGAUGUAUGUAUAUGAUCUAAAUUGAAUCAUAGUAUUUAUAAAUGUUUAGUCUUCCUUUCUUUCACUAAUGGCUAUUGCUUACUUUCGUGUAAGCCGUUUGUGUAUGUUUCCGCUAGUG